CCUACGGGAGGCAGCAGUGAGGAAUAUUGGUCAAUGGACGCAAGUCUGAACCAGCCAUGCCGCGUGCAGGAUGACGGCCCUAUGGGUUGUAAACUGCUUUUAUGUAGGAAUAAACCCCCGAACGUGUUCGGGGCUGAAUGUACGCAGAU
rnacentral:rRNA from 1 species